rnacentral:rRNA from 1 species
AUUGAACGCUGGCGGCAGGCCUAACACAUGCAAGUCGAGCGGAGCGGCGGAAGGGUGCGUAAUGCUUAGGAAUCUGCCUGGGAGUGGGGGAUAACGACCGGAAACGGGAGCUAAUACCGCAGACUCUUAGAUUAGCCUAGGGCGGGAUAGCUAGUGGGUGGGGUAAAGGCCUACCAAGGCGACGAUCCCCAACUGGUCUGAGAGGAUGAUCAGUCACACGGGAACUGAGACACGGUCCAGACUCCUACGGGAGGCAGCAGUGGGGAAUAGUGGACAAUGGGCGAAAGCCUGAUCCAGCCAUGCCGCGUGUGUGAAGAAGGUCUUCGGAUUGUAAAGCACUUUAAGUAGGGAGGCGUUACCAUCAGAAUAAGCACCGGCUAACUGCGUGCCAGCAGCCGCGGUAAUAC